rnacentral:tRNA from 1 species
GCCUUCGUGGUGUAGUGGUCAGCACUCUCGACUCGUAUUCGAGAGGUCCGGGGUUCGUGUCCCAGCGAAGGCA